rnacentral:misc_RNA from 1 species
GAUGAAGGAACGUAGCGAAAUGCGAUAACUAAUGUGAAUUGCAGAAUUCCGUGAAUCAUCGAGUCUUUGAACGCACAUUGCGCCCCCUGGUAUUCCGGGGGGCAUGCCUGUCCGAGCGUCAUUGCUGCCCAUCAAGCACGGCUUGUGUGUUGGGUCCUCGUCCCCCCCGGGGGACGUGCCCGAAAGGCAGCGGCGGCACCGCGUCCGGUCCUCGAGCGUAUGGGGCUUUGUCACCCGCUCUGCAGGCCCGGCCGGCGCUGGCCGACGCGAAAGCAACCAUUUUUUCUCCAGGUUGACCUCGGAUCAGGUAGGGAUACCCGCUGAACUUAAGCAUAUCAAUAAGCGGAGGA